rnacentral:rRNA from 1 species
UACAGAGGGUGCAAACGUUGUUCGGAAUUACUGGGCGUAAAGCGUGUGUAGGCGGCCUCGUAGGUCGGAUGUGAAAGCUCUCGGCUCAACCGGGAAAGUGCAUUCGAAACCACAAGGCUUGAGUGUCGGAGAGGAAGGCGGAAUUGUCGGUGUAGAGGUGAAAUUCGUAGAUAUCGACAAGGACACCUGCGGCGAAAGCGGCCUCUGGACGAACACUGACGCUGAG